GUCUACUAACAGGGUGUACAGGUCUACUGACAGGGUGUACAGGUCUACUGACAGGGUGUACAGGUCUACUAACAGGGUGUACAGGUCUACUGACAGGGUGUACAGGUCUACUGACAGGGUGUACAGGUCUACUAACAGGGUGUACAGGUCUACUAACAGGGUGUACAGGUCUACUAACAGGGUGUACAGGUCUACUGACAGGGUGUACAGGUCUACUGACAGGGUGUACAGGUCUACUGACAGGGUGUACAGGUCUACUGACAGGGUGUACAGGUCUACUAACAGGGUGUACAGGUCUACUGACAGGGUGUACAGGUCUACUGACAGGGUGUACAGGUCUACUAACAGGGUGUACAGGUCUACUAACAGGGUGUACAGGUCUACUAACAGGGUGUACAGGUCUACUAACAGGGUGUACAGGUCUACUAACAGGGUGUACAGGUCUACUAACAGGGUGUACAGGUCUACUAACAGGGUGUACAGGUCUACUGACAGGGUGUACAGGUCUACUGACAGGGUGUACAGGUCUACUGACAGGGUGUACAGGUCUACUGACAGGGUGUACAGGUCUACUAACAGGGUGUACAGGUCUACUAACAGGGUGUACAGGUCUACUAACAGGGUGUACAGGUCUACUACUUGACAGAGUUGACAGAGAACCUACCUGUGUGUUCUAGUGUUGUCUCUAUUCCUAGGACAGAGAACCUACCUGUGUGUUCUAGUGUUCUGUGUUCUGUUCUAGUGUUGUCUCUAUCUCUAGGACAGAGUACCUACCUGUGUGUUCUAGUGUUCUGUGUUCUGUUCUAGUGUUGUCUCUAUCCCUAGGACAGAGAACCUACCUGUGUGUUCUAGUGUUCUCUUCUAGUGUUGUCUCUAUCCCUAGGACAGAGAACCUACCUGUGUGUUCUAGUGUUCUGU